GAUGAACGCUAGCGGCAGGCUUAAUACAUGCAAGUCGUGGGGCAGCAUGACUGUAGCAAUACAGUUGAUGGCGACCGGCAAACGGGUGCGGAACACGUACACAACCUUCCUUUAAGUGGGGAAUAGCCCAGAGAAAUUUGGAUUAAUACCCCGUAAAAUAUAGAAGUGGCAUCGCUUUUAUAUUAUAGCGGUAAGUCGCUUGAAGAUGGGUGUGCGGCUGAUUAGAUAGUUGGCGGGGUAACGGCCCACCAAGUCGACGAUCAGUAACUGGUGUGAGAGCACGACCAGUCACACGGGCACUGAGACACGGGCCCGACUCCUACGGGAGGCAGCAGUAAGGAAUAUUGGUCAAUGGACGCAAGUCUGAACCAGCCAUGCCGCGUGGAGGAUGAAGGUCCUCUGGAUUGUAAACUUCUUUUAUUUGGGAAGAAAUCUACCUUUUCUUGGGUAGUUGACGGUACCAGAUGAAUAAGCACCGGCUAACUCCGUGCCAGCAGCCGCCGUAACAC
rnacentral:rRNA from 1 species